rnacentral:rRNA from 1 species
CAAUAGCGUAUAUUUAAGUUGUUGCAGUUAAAAAGCUCGUAGUUGGAUUUCGGUUAAGAGCGACCGGUCCGCCGUUUGGUGUGCACUGGUUGGUUUUAACUUCCUGUAGAGGACGUGCUCUGGGUUUAACGACCUGGACUCGGAGUCUACGUGGUUACUUUGAAAAAAUUAGAGUGUUCAAAGCGGGCUUACGCUUGAAUAUUUCAGCAUGGAAUAACACUAUAGGACUCCUGUCCUAUUUCGUUGGUCUCGGGACGGGAGUAAUGAUUAAGAGGAACAGUUGGGGGCAUUCGUAUUUCAAUGUCAGAGGUGAAAUUCUUGGAUUUAUGAAAGACGAACUUCUGCGAAAGCAUUUGCCAAGGAUGUUUUCAUUAA